GACUCUCUUAGGAAAUCCAUUUGCCAUGGAAUAUUGUUUCAAAACAUUAAAGCGGUCCCGAGGAGUAGUGGGCGUUCCCCCUGCGAGUGACUUGCCCAUUUAUAAGGGGCUUGGGGAGGCAAAUUUGUGUGGUUCGUCUUGAGAAGAGACUCCAAAUGGCUGCUUUUAUCAAGCUUAAUUUCUUUCUCCUGAUGGUGCUCCUGGCUCUAGCCUCAGCUGUCUGCCUGGGCAUCUGCGACGGCGAAUGGGGUUGUGCGAACUUUAGGGGGUACUGCCGCAAGGAUUGUUUCCCCCAGGAAAAAUCUCUGGGACCUGAGGACUGUGCUGGAGACUUGGUUUGCUGUGUGUCAAGUGCAUUGGGAUAGCCAUCUGUAUUAAUCUCAGUAAAUCAGUUGUGAAGAAAAUAACUUGAUCCAGAGGAUGUUUUACCCCUGUGAUGUAGAAGCUAUGCUUGGAGAAUGCCCACUGAUGUCAACACAACCAUGUCAGUGUCAUUACAGCAAACAGCCUGCAGACAAUAAAAUAAAAUAUGUUUCCCCUCUGUUCUU